UUCAGGCUGCUUCAUAGUCAGCCUGAGGGGUGGGCAGGGCUGAGACUUGUUCUGGUGAAUGGACAGGGAUGGGUACUUUGGGGGGGGGUUGCUGAUUCAUACUCUGCCUGAGGGGUGGGCUUUGGUUUUGGCUUUAACAUUCCAUCAGAUACUGCAGCUGAGGCUGUGCUUGGCUCUCACUCAAGUUGCCUGGUUUCUUCUGAUCCCUCACCCUCACUGCCUUGACUCUGCCAGUUACAGUUCUGCCAUGGAGUUCUACCCAGAAGGGAGAUGGAAGUAAGCUGCCCCCGAGUCAGCUCUGCCUGCCAGGAGUGAGCAGAACAAGUAUUUCCCAACAUGGGACAGGCCAUGCCCGCUCCCCUGUCUUCCUUUGUUUCCUGAGAAUCUGAAGAACCAGGUACCUGGGUUCCUUUCAAUGGAUGCAAGACAGGCAGGUCAUAGACUCUGAAGCGUAAGCUGCUGUUACCCAGGGCCGAGGGUGGAGGGGACAAGUCAUCUCUUGCUCAGAGACACCAGGGCAGCAGUCUAGAACAGAAACCUCCUUACUACUGAAAUUUAACUUCUGUCAUCAAACCUUAUAAAUUCUUCUAUCAAUUCCUCACCAAAGACAUUCGAUCCUGUGUAGGUGAGGAUGUCAGAAACAGCUCCUUUUAGGGUGUGUGCGUGUGUGUGUGGGGGGUCAUUUUCCUCUCCAAAUCUCUUUGUACCAGGUGCUCAUUGAGUUUGCUGCUGGAUACUUCAUGCUCUCCCCUCCCGAGGUUUCCUGCCCAGGCGAAGGUGUGAACUGUUGAGACAGCACAGCAACUGGGUGACAGCAGGGAAACGGCAGCUGUCACUCUGCUCUCUGAUAGAGGCCAUGUGAAAGAAGCUGGCAUCCUGGCAUCCUGUACCACUCAAGAUUAACAAACAGUUCUCCCAUUCUAUGUGCUUUCGACUGAACUUCCCAAUUAAUGGGUCCUCGUGACAGAGCAAGCGUUCCUAGCAGAAACAGCCUCUAGGUGAGGCCAUUUGGAUGUAAUCAUCCGCAUUUUAGCAGAGGCUGUUCUGGGCAUGAUACUGGAAGUCUUGGAUCUAACAUAGAUGUGUUUCUGCUCAUAGGGCACGAAUGCACAUGUAUGCACUUGUAUUUACCUAUGCAGAGACAGAAUUUACGUGCAUCUAUCUGCCAUACCUAUGUUGCCACGCUCACUUGUAUGUACCACUCAUCACACAUGUACACUAGCAUGUGUAUCCUUGCUCGAUGUGUUCACGUUUAAAUACUCAUGUGCAUGCCUCUGUAGCAUGUACGGUGUUUGUAAUUAUGCACACAGCUGCAUGCCUCUAUGUUCACAUCGAAGCAUGAUUGAUUGCACAUGCACACGGGGCUCUUGUAAGAUGUACAGGGCUCCUGAACGUCCUCCUGUAGUCACCCGUGUGCGUGAGUGAACAUGGCCUUCAUGGUCAUCCACACACAGGCGCCAUGUAACAAGGGAAACAUGGCACCAGUAGGGUUAAUGGAGGCCCCAGACUUCCAUAAAUAUUUAUAGGAAGCACUCAAGCUCUCAAAGUGGGAGCUGAAACCUCUCCUCUUGAGCCCCUGUAAAUCACUGCUGGGCUGCUGCUGCUUGUUACCUGUCAGAUCAGGGGCUGUGUUCUGCAAAGGCAACGUGUAUAUGGUUAGAGCUACAGCUAUUCAGGGGCCAGGGGUGAAGGGGGAAGGCCAUCUGGUCAUCUCUUGCCUUGCUCAGAGUCACCAGGGGGAGGGUCUAGAACAGAAAUCCAUGCCUCUCUAGUGCUGAAAUUUAAUUUUUGUCACGGAACCUUAUAAUUCUUCUAUAGGUUCCUCACCAAAGACAUUCAACCCUGUGUAGAGGAGGGGGGUCAGAGACUGCCCUCUUGGGGUCAGUCUCUCUUUGCACAGGUUGGUCAUCCCAGGGCCUUUCCAGGCAUCCAGUGAACAUGUCAGGGCCACUACUUACUACUGGGAUCCUUCUUCAAGGGUCAAGGGUCAAGUGAAGCAGCUCAGUGAUGUCGCUGCUGCCUCUGACUGUAGGGCUGCAGCUGUGAAAAGAGAGACACAUCGUUGUGUGACUAUGAGAGGCUCUGUCUGUGGAGGGAUAGCAUCUCCGGCAGGGCAAGGAGGAAUGGUCCUGAUUUGAUGCAGAGGGAACUAUUUUUCCCUCACCAGCUUUGCUUCCCAAAGGCCUGCUGGAUCUCAGGGCCCCAAGCUGCUGUGUCCAAUGCAAAUUCUGUGCUCCGUUUGUGUCACCCGAAACUGAUCAUUGGCGUGCUGGACACUAUUCUAAGAUUAGAUAGAACAAUGAACAGAAAGCAUCAAACGUCCCCAACUGUGAGUUUCCAACCCGAUAGGAGAGUAGAGAUGCCCUUCAGGUAGCACAUGGAAUGCCCACGGCCGACAGAAGACGCACCACGCAGGAGAGCAGCCUGACCCUUGAAGACAUUCACACAACUGUGUAAGAGCGGGCCGGGAGCAGUCAAAAGGGCUUCCUGGAGUUGUUGAUGCGUGAAUGGAUAGCUGAAGUCUGAAUAGAAGUUAUUCAAGUCAAAACGCGCUGGAUUAGCGCCAUCCCAUGGAUGUUUCUAAGGUCACCAUUCCAACCAAGCAAGCAGUCUAGGAGGAGGACAUCGUCCCUUUCUUCUAGUCCUGGGGCAUAACAGGACCUUGGAGGAACUCAUCUGGUGGAAACAGAGAAGCAUCGACAGUUAGCUGACUGGUGACUGGUCUUCUUUAGACAGAACUUUGAACUGCAGCCUCAUUACCUCAGUGAUGGAAUCACACCAGGCUUCCAGGGACACAGACUUCUGUUUGGUUUAUGUCUGUGACUAUGAAUUCAAGACAUCAUACAGAGAGUGAGAGAACGAGCUAAGUAAUAGUACCGUUUGGUUCACUGAAACAGGUCAGUGAGAUGUUGUACAUCUAGAACCAGCUUGGAUCUCUACAGAGGGAGGAGACAUUUUCUGCAAAGGAGCUGGCACCCUGCUGUAAUUUCUGCAAUUGUUUGCAGUGGGGAAACAAAUGGCCCUGGUGCUUGUGGGCUGUGUGAAUUAGAACAGAGGUUCUCAAACUUGAACAUGUGUUAAGAUCUCUGUUAAGGCUUGUUAGAACACAGGUCCCUGCGACCCACCCCUAGAGUCUUCUGAUUUGGUUAGUCUGGAAUUGGGCCAACAAUUGCUUACAUGCCUCUGAUAUGGCUGCUCUCGGAACCACUCUAAAAAGCACUGGAUUAAGGUAAUACCAAUAUGGACCCAGAUAAACCCCCAUCUGUCAGCAGCCUAGGUCUGUGAAAGUAUCCUCAUUGAUUAAUGGGGGAAUGGCUAAACACAUGGCAAUAUGCUAUA
rnacentral:sRNA from 1 species